rnacentral:rRNA from 1 species
UACGGAGGAUGCGAGCGUUAUCCGGAUUUAUUGGGUUUAAAGGGUGCGCAGGCGGCGUGUCAAGUCAGCGGUAAAAUGUCGGGGCUCAACCCCGGCCGGCCGUUGAAACUGGCGUGCUCGAGUUGGAGAGAAGUAUGCGGAAUUCGUGGUGUAGCGGUGAAAUGCAUAGAUAUCACGAAGAACCCCGAUUGCGAAGGCAGCAUACCGGCUCCACACUGACGUUGAGGCACGAAAGCGUGGGUAUCGAACAGG